AUACUUUCCUUUGAAGGCUAUCUUAAACAGCUCCCAAGUCACACUGUCAGCAGGAGUUCCAUCUCUCACUAUGAGCCACCACUAAUAAGCCUCAUCCCUGAGUAACGAUAUGGUUCCCUUCAGCUUCUGCUCCACAGAGCAGUCCAGAUCAUCCAUAAUCCGCUCUGUGGCUUCUAACCAAUACUCAGCCACAUUCGGAGCUACACCAAAUAUGC
rnacentral:lncRNA from 1 species